rnacentral:rRNA from 1 species
ACGCUGGCGGCGUGCUUAACACAUGCAAGUCGAGCGGAAAGGCUCCUUCGGGGGGUACUCGAGCGGCGAACGGGUGAGUAACACGUGAGUAAUCUGCCCUUGGCUUUGGGAUAACUACCGGAAACGGUGGCUAAUACCGGAUACGACCACUCCUUGCAUGAGGUGGUGGUGGAAAGUUUUUUCGGCCAGGGAUGUGCUCGCGGCCUAUCAGCUUGUUGGUGGGGUAAUGGCCUACCAAGGCUUCGACGGGUAGCCGGCCUGAGAGGGUGACCGGCCACACUGGGACUGAGACACGGCCCAGACUCCUACGGGAGGCAGCAGUGGGAAUAUUGGACAAUGGGCGGAAGCCUGAUCCAGCAACGCCGCGUGAGGGAUGACGGCCUUCGGGUUGUAAACCUCUCUCAGUACCGACGAAGCGCCGAUGAUGGUGGUGACGGUAGGUACAGAAGAAGCACCGGCCAACUACGUG